rnacentral:pre_miRNA from 1 species
UAUAAGGGAUUUUAAGUUUUUACUUGCAACGUUUGACCACUCGUCUUAUUCAAAUUUUUUUAAAAUUAUUAUUUAUUUUAUUAGUCACUUACUUUAUUAUCCACAGUACUUUAAACACAACUUUUUUUUUUAUAAAUACAAAAAAAUUUAAAUAAGACGAGUGGUCAAAUGUUGCUAGCAAAAACUUAAA